rnacentral:lncRNA from 1 species
GCCCACGCCGCCCCUCCGCCGGGAACAAACGCCUUCCAAUCGAAAGACCGUCUCCCGGGUACCCCUAAAGUAAUUGCAAUAAAAGCAUGGAGAAAAAGCCAGAUGGAAGAAUUGUUUUAAAACAAGUAACCCACCAGUGGAUGAGAAGACACUACAACUUCAGUUAAUUCUAGCAACCAAAUAUAAGAUACUCCUCUUAAGAGUGGAAAAUGGCACGGAAAUGGGUUGGCAUUGAUAACUGUUGUUGGCAGACAUCACCUCUCACAGCUUUUCGCCUUGUCAAAGGAUGCCUCGUUCCCAAGGGAGUUCUGUAAGAGCAAAGCAAACGACCUGUAGGCAUAAAUCAGCGAGUUUGCUGCACGAGAGGACAUUCAUCUGGAAAGUCAGACACCCCUGUCAACUUCCAAUUUCUGGAGGUGGCAUUUCUUGAGGCCCUCCCUCUUGGAUUGUUCUGGAGCCUGAAACCUCAAAGAGCUUAGAUCCACGUCGCUUCCCUCACCAGCCCCAAACAGGUGUUCCCAUCACUUGAGAAAGAGAGUAGUGAAAAGGCAAACAAAUGCUUUCUGCUUGCUUCAAACAUCAAGAUACCUGCAAAAUUCUGCCUUAUGUGUAUGCAGCCUCUUCUUCAGAUGCCGUGAUGGAUGAUGAAGAAAAUGGCAUUGGAGACCGUCCACCCAAUCACCCAAGCUGUAGAUUGGUGUGAAGGUCUGUCUGUGUGACCUCAGAACGGUUUUAUGUGGCUAGAACCUCAUCAGUUGAUACGGAUUAAUUUUGAUUUUCUGCUACUCUCUUUAGAACUUUAAUAUUUUUUUCUAGAAUAAAUUUAGUAUACUAUUCAAGAAGAACCUCAUAUCACCUGUCUGCUCAAAAAGCUUUAAUGGUCUUCUGAAUAAAUUUUAAAUUCCUUAGCUUGACAGUGUCUUCCAAACCCCCUACAAUACCUGCCAUUUCCCUUCCCUACCAGCUUCUUUCCAAUCUUACUAUUGUGUUACCUCCUUCAUGUCUUCCAUGUUCCAGUCAGGCAGAGUGUUUCAAUAAUAACAUGCAUGCAAUUCUUCCUGACUUCAUACACUUACACGUUCUGCUUGGUUCAACUGAAAUGUCUGUUCAGUUCUACCUCCACCUAAAAAAUCUGUUUUUAAAGACCCAGCAGAAAUAACCAUCUCCUUCAUGAUGCCUUCCACGUUCCAUGUAAUUCUUUGUUCAUAUAUUUUAUUUUUUUUUCAUUUUUCCCUCAAGUUUAUUUUAUUUUUGUUGUUGUUGUUGUUGUAUAAUGAUCAUAACCAUCUGAUUUCACAGGAUUUCCAUCCCACAGCCCAAGCACAUCCCCCCACCCCCCAAACUGUCUCCUCCGGAGACCAUAAGUUUUUCAAUGUCUGUGAGUCAGCAUCUGUUCUGCAAAGAAGUUCCGUCUGUCCUUUUUUCAGAUUCCACAUGUCAGUGAAAGCAUUUUUGGAUGAUGGCCAUUCUGACUGGUGUAAGGUGGUACCUCAUCGUGGUUUUGAUUUGCAUUUCUCUAAUAAUGAGUGACGCUGAACAUCUUUUCAUGUGUUUCUCGGCCAUCUGUAUGUCUUUUUUAGAGAACUGUCUGUUUAGAUCUUCUGCCCAUUUUUUGAUGGGGUUGUUUGUUUUUUUGGUAUUGAGUGGUAGGAGGUGUUUAUAAAUUUUGGAGAUUAAUCCCUUGUCAGUUGAUUCAUUUGCAAAUAUUUUCUCCCAUUCUGUGGGUUGUCUUUUCAUUUUGUUUAGGGUUUCCUUUGCUGUGCAGAAACUUUGAAGUUUGAUUAGGUCCCAUUUAUUUUUGUUUUUGUUGACAUUACUCUAAGAGGUGGAUCUGAGAAGAUGUUGCUGUCAUUUAUGUCAGAGAGUGUUUGGCCUAUGUUUUCCUCUAAGAGUUUUAUAGAGUCUGGUCUUAUAUCUAGGUCUUUAAUCCAUUUGAAGUUUAUUUUUGUGUAUGGUGUUAGGGAGUGUUCUAAUUUCAUUCUUUUCCAUAUGGCUGUCCAGUUUUCCCAGCACCACUUAUUGAACAAGCUGUCCUUUCUCCAUUGUAUAUUCUUGCUUCCUUUGUCAUAGAUGAGUUGGCUGUAAGUGCAUGGGUUUAAUUCUGGGCUUUCUAUCCUGUUCCACUGAUCUAUAUGUCUGUCUUUGUGCCAGUAUCAUGCAGUUUUGAUGACCGUUGCUUUGUAGUAUAGUCUGAAGUCUACGAGCCUGAUUCCUCCAGCUCCAUUUUUCUUUUUCAGGAUGUCUUUGGCUACUCUGGGUCUUUUGUACUUCCAAACAAACUUUAAAAUAUUUUGUCCAGGUUCUGUGAAAAAUGUCCUUGGUAAUUUGAUAGGGAUUGCAUUGAAUCUGUAGAUUGCCUUGGGUAGUAUAGUCAUUUUGAUAAUAUUAACUCUUCCAAUCCACGAGCAUGGUAUAUCUUUCCAUCUAUUUGUGUCAUCUUUGAUUUCUUUCAUCAGUGGCUUGUAGUUUUCAGAGUACAGGUCUUUUGUUUCUUUAGGUAGGUUUACUCCUAGGUAUUUUAUUCUUUUGGAUGCGAUGGUGAACGGGAUUGCUUCCCUAAUUUCCUUUUCUGCUUUUUCAUUGUUAGUAUAUAGAAACGCUAUCAAUUUCUGUGUAUUGAUUUUGUAUCCUGCAACUUUGCCAAAUUCGUGGAUAAGCUCUAGCAGUUUUCUGGUAGAGUCUUUAGGAUUCUCUAGGUAUAGUAUCAUGUCAUCUGCAAAUAGUGAUAGUUUUACUUCUUCCUUUCCAAUUUGAUUCCUUUUAUUUCUUUUACUUCUCUGAUUGCUGUGGCUAGGACUUCCAGAACUAUUUUGAAGAGUAGUGGCGAGAGCGGACAUCCUUGAAGUGGGAUUUAUCCCAGGGAUGCAAGCGUUCUUCAAUAUCCGCAAAUCUAUCAGUGUGAUACACCACAUUAACAAACUGAAGAAUAAAAACCAUAUGAUCCUCUCUAUAGACAUGGAAAAAGCCUUUGACAAAAUCCAACACUCAUUUCUGAUAAAAACCCUUCAGAAAGUGGGCAAAACAGGAACCUACCUCAACAUGAUAAAGGCCAUAUACGACAAACCCACAGCGAACAUCAUUCUCAAUGGUGAAAAGCUGAAAGAAUUCCCGCUGAGAUCAGGAACAAGACAAGUAUGUUCAUAUAUUUUAAUGUUGUGGCAUUUACCAAGCCCUACCUUAUUCUGGAGAUAAUUAUGACAGCUCUAUGGGUUGGUAGGGCAGGGGCCAUAUUUUAUUUAUCCUUUUCUUAUAAAUCCCCAUAGAACAUAGUAGAGCAAAUAUCUUGUACAAAUUAAGCAAUCAAUAAAUAUACUUGAACAAAUAUUUCACAUUAAAAUGCAUUUGAAAUGAAGUUUAUCUUCUAGGAAAAAGGAUUCUUUUAUUCACUAAUGCUUACUGAGCAUUGGUUUUAUGCCAAGCAAUGAAUAUACAGUAGUAAACCAACAUUGCAUCUCUGCUCAUGAAAUUUACAAUCUAGUGUUAUAACUUAGUGUAAUAUAAAAAGCACUGAACUGAUUGUCACUUGGGUUUGAGUCUGAGCUCUGUUCCUCAUUAGCUAGGAAAAGUUGGGCAGCGGAUAUAAUCUCUCUGGAUCUCAUUUUCCACUGUUGCUUGGAUUUGAUGGUCUUUAACAUCCUUUAUGGUGCAAAGAUAUCUUUAUAUUUUGACUCUGGGGGAACACAUUUGGAUGGAUGCAACUUUUUCAAUAAUAUUUAUGUCAAUAUCAAUGCUAUCUUUUUUUAAGUGGCUUUCUCUUUAUUCAGACAAAAUAUAGAAAUAGCACAUGUAUAAGUAACAUCAAAAAGUCAUAAAAGUAGAAAUCUGCCUCAAAUGAAUAUUUUAGUGAGCCUAAUAUAUUUUACUAAAAAUUAAUAAUAAAUAUAGGAUUCGAAUGUACUGCUUUAGACAAAUGAUGACCAUAUUGAGAAACCUUAGCCAGGAAGUUCCUCAGAGUAAUGAGGCUUCCGUCCUCAUUACGUUCACUCAGAGAGUUAUGGUGAAAAAGAUAACUUUCCCAGGUCAGUUCUAUGCUCUAAAGAGGAACUGAGGCCACUAAACAAUGGCUAAAUUAUAGAGGGUUAGGGUCUAAUUUAAGGAACAUUAAAGAGAGUCAUUCACAGCACCCACAUUUAGGCAUUUAGAGGAUUUGAGAGCAGAAGCAUUUAUGUGACUUGAGGCAUUGUCGAUCAACUCGGUAGAAACCCCGUCAAAGACUGACCUUGAUCCACUUUUAUCAAGUCUAUGCAGGAGUUCUCAUCUUCUGGUUUCAGGAAAAGAAGUAUCCUCCUCUCACCAAGGCCUGGGCUGCCACCUGUUCUGAGGGUCCCUUUUGUUGCCCCUUCCCUUCUUGUAACCAGGUGCCAUCUGUCGUUGCUUCUCCUGUGUCUCCAGUCCUCCAUCUCUGCUAACAUUGAAAUAUGCUCCAGCGUCUCCUUAAGCAUACCAUUACUGCUCAUUUUUGGAUAACUCAUUUCUAAAUCCCCCAGAUUGAUUUAGGCUAUUGAACCAAGAACUUUUUUUUAAAAUAUAUACAGUUUUAUUUUUUUCCAUUAUAGCUGGUUUAUAGUGUUCUGUCAAUUUUCCAUUGUACAGCAAGGUGACCCAGUUACACAUACAUGUAUGCAUUCUUUUUUCUCACAUUAUCAUGCUCCAUCAUAAGUGACCAGACAUAGUUCCCAGUGCUACACAGCAGGAUCCUUUUGCUUAUCCAUUCCAAAGGCAAUAGUUUGCAUCUAUUAACCCCAAGCAUCCCAUCUAUCCCACUCCGUCCCCCUCUCUCUUGGCAGCCACAAGUCUGUUCUCCAUGUCCAAGAUUUUCUUUUCUGUGGAAAGGUUCAUUUGUGCUAUAUCUUAGAUUCCAGAUAUAAGUGAUAUCAUGUGGUGUUUGUCUUUUUCUGACUUACUUCACUCAGAAUGAGAGUCUCUACUUCCAUCCAUGUUGCUGCAAAUGGCAUUAUUUUGUUCUUUUUUAUGGCUGAGUAGUAUUCCAUUGUGUAUAUAUACCACAUCCUCCUAAUCCAAUCAUCUGCCAAUGGACAUUUAGGUUGUUUCCAUGUCUUGGCUAUUGUGAAUAGUGCUGCAGUGAACAUGCAGGUGCAUGUGUCUUUUUCAAGGAAAGUUUUGUCCAGAUGUAUGCCCAAGAGUGGGAUUGCCCGGUCAUGUGGUAGUUCUGUGUAUAGUUUUCUGAAGGUACCUCUACACUGUUUUCCAUAGUGGUUGUACCAAUUUACAUUCCCGCCAACAGUGCAUGAGGGUUCCCUUUUCUCCACACCCCCUCCAGCAUUUGUUAUUUGUGAACUUAUUAAGGAUGGCUAUUCUAACUGGUGUGAGGUGGUACUUAUGGUAGUUUUGAUUGGCAUUUCUCUAAUAAUCACUGAUGUUGAGCAUUUUUUUCAUGUGAUUUUGGCCAUCUGUACAUCUUCCUUGGAGAAAUGUCUGUUCAGGCCUUUUGCCCAUUUUUCAAUUGGGUUGUUGGCUUUUUUGCUGUUGAGUUGUAUAAGUUGUUUGUAUAUUUUAGGAUGAUUUUUAAAAUUUUAAUAUUAUUGAAAUAUAGUUUAUUUACAAAUGUUGUAUUAGUUUCAGGUAUACAGCUAAGUAAACCCGUCAUACAUAUAAAUACAUCCAUUCUUUUUUUCCGCAUAGGUUAUUACAAACUAUUGAGUAGAUUUUCUGUGCCGCACAGUAGAUUCUUGUUAAUCAUCUAUUUUAUAUAAUAGUGUGUAUAUGUUAUUCCAACCUUCCCAAUUCUUCCGUCCCCCCAUGAUGUUGCCAUAAGGCUGGUUUUGAAAUCUGAGUUCAUUUCUGUUUUUUUUUUCUUUUUGCUUUUUUAGGGGCACAUCUGCGGCAUAUAGAGGUACCCAGGCUGGGGGUCCAGUUGGAGCUAUAGCUGCCAGCCAACCCACAGCCACAGCAAUGCUAGAUCCAAGCCGCAUCUGCAACCUACACCACAGCUCGUGGCUAAGCCAGAUCCUUAACCCACUGAGUGAGGCCAGGGAUCAAACCCAAAACCUCAUGGUUCCUAGUUGGAUUCGUUUCCACUGUGCCACAACAGGAACUCCUCUUUCUGUUUUUUUAAAUGAGUUCUUGUUUUUAUUAGAUUCCACAUAUAAAUGAUAUGAUGUGGUAUUUUUCUUUCUCUGUCUGACUUUUCUUAAUAGUAUUUAUAACUAUUUUAAUUGAGAAAUAAUCCCACAGAUAACAAUAACUCCAGUAGGAUACUGGUGGUCUUGAAUACUGCUUUACUUCCAGUGCUUGGCACAGUGCUUGGUAGUCACUUGACAUGAAGGUAUAGAAUAAAUGAACGAAUGAAUAUAUUCUCUUUCUCGGCCUCCUUCUCUCUCUCUCUCUCUCUCUAUCUCUCUCUCUCACACACACACACACACACACACACAUACUUCUGAAGCAAAUGGCUUUCAUAACUAGUGGUAAUAAAAUUUUCUCCUAAGCUUUAAAAAAAAGUACCACUAUGGGAGUUCUCGUAGUGGCUCUGCAGUAACAAACCCAACUAGUAUCCAUGAGGACACAGGUUUGAUCCCUGGCCUUGUUCAGUGGGUUAAGGAUCCAACGUUACCGUCAGCUGUGGUGUAGGUUGCAGAUGCUGCUUGGACCCCUCAUUGCUGUGGCUGUGGUGCAGGCCAGCAGCUGCAGCUCCAAUUCAACCUGGGAGCUUCCGCUUGCCCUGGCUGUUGCCCUAAAAAGACAAAAAUAAAAAUAAAAAAAGAAAGCACCGCUAAGUUGAUUUUUUAAAUAUUUGAGGACUGGUACAGGAAAGAAUAGUAGAGAAGAGCUCAUGGUGGCGGUCACUGUCCCUAGGAAUUGCUGAAUCCACACAGCCACUCAUUCUUGUGCUGCGAGGUCCUCACUUGUCUUCUCCAGGGAUUGGGAAAAGCAAGCACCUUAGAUGCUGCCACUGCCUAUUAACUGUACUGAAAAACAUGCCUUGCAUUAAAAUUAUGUAUCCAUCAUUUGUAUUAUAUCUGUGCUACUUGUGAUCGUGAAUGCCAACAAUUCAUUUGCAGAGUUCAAAACCGAGUUCACUGUGAAACAUCCGAGGUGAAUAUUUGUGUAUUUGUACAAGCAAAUGUGCGUGUGCACUCACCUCUCGCCCCUGCCAAAGUAGAAACCACAUAGAAACUAGAAUAAAAAUACUAGUAGUCUUUUAGGAUAGAGAUGAUUUUCGUGCCCUUAUGUAAAUACAUUUUCGACAGUGAGUGUAAGGUGCAAUAAAGAUAAGACCAGCAGAGAGCAGUACACGCAUUAACAUUUAAAUAUUCUUUUGAAUACUAACUAGUAACAACAUUUAAUGAAAGAGUGGUAUUUCUCAUUUUAAAUGUUUCUUACAGUUUUCUCCAGUUAGGGAAUCAAUGUGUUACUUUAUUUGAAAGCUAAGGCACUUAAGUAUCUCCUUGUGUUUCCAGUGUGUUCCCAUCUCAUUUUGUUUGUUGGAAAUAAAAUCUUCAAUCAAACAAA